GCAAGUUAAAGUGAGUUUUUGGUCAACUUCAAACGAUCAUAACUCCUAACUCGGGAGGAGUUAGGUGUAGUUCUAGAUAUGGUUGGAAAGGUCUUAGAACGAUCUUUCCAACUCCACCAAGUUUAUACGAUUUUGAGUUGCUAUGAGUGAUUUAUGUCAUUUGGAAGUUGGGCUGUUGGAGUAAGCAAAUGUCCAAUCCGGGAAUUAAAAGGGUAAAUUGAUCUUUUCCUUACCCAAUUAAAUUAAUUCGUUUUAGUGACUUAAUUGGGGUAAAAAACAGUCUUAGUUUAGUUUAGAAAGAUUGAGAAUUCACGUUAGGGCUUUUGGAGAAAGAACGCAAGAAAAAUGAGAAGAGGAAAAUAAAGAAUUUCCAAGAACGAUCCUUUGCUUGUGGAUUUCUUCUGAGGUGAUCCCUAAAAAGACGCAUGUAAUCAGGAUCAUCAUCCAGCGCUUCGUUGAUCCAGUUGAGCACUCAAAGUCAGUGGUGAGCCUCCUUGCAUUCUGGAGGACUCUUUUAUUCAUUUUUAGUCUUUCUUUAUUAGGAUGUUGUGGGGUCUGUCCCAACAUCUAUCUCAGUAUUAUAGAGGCUUUAUAAACAGUCAAACAAUUUGUUAUGAGUCUCUCAUCUAUGUUUUGUUAUGAGACUUAAGUUGUCAAUUUGGCUAAGAUGUUAUUUCUUAAAGUUAUUGCAUGAUCUCAUAUUUAUUGA